rnacentral:lncRNA from 1 species
GUUUUAAUUUGUUUGGGUUUUUUGUUCCACAACAGGGAACAUCUCUAUGGAGGCAAGCUCUGAAAUUCUAAGGUACUUUCCAAUCCAUUCUUUACUGCAGACAGAGGUUACAGCUCCACCCUUGGUGUCACCUUGUAUUACAAGUACAGAAAAAGAAAGACCUUAAAAAGUUCUGUUGAAAUUCAGAACACGGCAGCUAAUGAGUGAAUUGCAGUGGAAUGGCUGCUGGAAAUUGUCCAGAGGAAGCGUAACCAAGAGGUAAGUAGAAAAUGCUAACAAUUUGAAGUUUUGCACUGUAUGAAAUUGGUUUUAUUUUGU